rnacentral:lncRNA from 10 species
GCAAAGAACAGAGGAUUCUUGAGAAAGGGGACUUGAAGGUGAAGAGAUAAAGGCUGGUGCUUCCAGGAGCGUGGGUCUCCUACGUUUGUGUUCCUGGGAAGAAUCUUGGACUCAGGCGUGGGCAGCUGGAUGCCUGGGUUCCUUAGGCUUCCUCCAGGCAAUGUAGUUGCCUCUUUCUCUGUUGUGAAAGAGCUGCAGGGGCCUUUAUAGCUUCAUAUGGUCUGAGGAGGGGUGGGGCAGUUGACCUGACAGUCUGCCAACUACAGGCAGGUGAGAGAACGAUACCAAGCCUGGGACGGAAUAGAGCAGGGGUCAAGAGGAAGGUGAGAAAGGAGAAUGACAUGACCACACUAGGCAGGGUGCUUGGCUGGGUUGCAGCAGGAAGUAGAAUGGGAUGAGGAGAUCAUGGUUGUCAGAGUGGAAGGGACCCACCCUUUGAAGCAGGGAUCGGGUUAGAAACCUGUUGCAGCUCAAGAAUUUGUUUUCUGGUCAGGAAGUCCUGUGGGCCUGCUUUAGCAUGAAAGAAGCCCUAAUGAACUGAGCCAAGAGAGUAGGACCUCACAUCUCUACAGCAAACAGUAAUAGGUGACGCAAAAGAGACCAGUAACUAGGACUCUGGGCUCCUGGGUUAUGGGCAGAAGACAAAUGGAGUAUUACUGAGUAUGCAGUAAGCACUCAACAAUGCACAUUGAAGGAACAGGGGAAGAGAGAUCCAGAAGACAUAAUGAAGAGAGAUAAUGAAAACAUGUUUGGGGUCUCUGGGGCAUGAGAACUGAGGGUGUGGGAGAGUAUUGAAUACGCCCCCUGUCAGACUCAUAGCAGGAGAAGGAAGGUAGGGUCUCCUUCUGACCCUCAACCAUAGGAGCUCCCCUCUGUUUUGUUUUUGUUUUCAGACGGCUGUAUAGGAGCCUUUCCACCCUGAGAUCCUUCUGAUGUGCCUUAGCAUCAGUUCCAAGGAAGCGUCUCUCAGGAGAGUACACACCUUAGGGAGAGACACAGUGCCAUAUCGGGACACAGUCUGAUGGGAGGAGGGAGAUCAACAGUCCAAGUCCUGGAGGAGGCUUGAAUUUGGUCUGGACACUUGGGUAUGGCCAGCAGAGGGGAAACAGUCAGCUAAAAGAGCGUGACUGAAGAGACCCAAACUUCCUGUGUGUGUGUGUGUGUGGAUGAUAUUUAGGACUCUCUUCCUCUUAUUUAUUUAUUUAUUGGAGAAAACAGUCUUCCUAAUUAGUAUACUUGUACCUUGGUAGGGAUCUAUGCUGCUCAACUUUCAAGACAAGAUAAGUCUGGGCAUGGUGGCUCGUGCCUGUAAUCCCAAAACUUUUGGAGGCUGAGGUAGGUGGAUUGCUUGAGCCCAGGCAUUCCAGAGACCAGCCUGGGCAACAUGGUGAAACCCCAUCUCUACAAAAAUAAAAAAAACAAGACAAGGUAAAUUUGCAUCCUGUACCUGGGAACAGAGUCAGCUAAGAGUAGGGAAUCUUUUAUUGUGUAAAUCAACCAAAAAGGUUGCAUGUCUAUGAGGUCAGGUAAAAAUAAAUAAAAGUUCAUAAGGCCAGGUACAGUGGCUCAUGCCAGUAAUCCUAGUACUUUGGGAGGCCAAAGCGAGAGGAUCACUUGAACCCAGCUCUAUCUCUGGGUAGACAGAAGCUGCAGUGAGCCAAGACGGCACCACUGGACUCCAGCCUGGGUGACAGAGUGAGACCCCAUCCAAAAAUUAAAAUGAAAAAUUUUUUUUAAAGUUCAUAAAAUAGAAGCUAGAAUAGUGCUUACCUUUGAUGGAGUGGGUAUUAUCUGGGAAGGGCCACAAAAUAAACUACUCAGAUGGUAGAAAUAUUCUACAUUUUAAGUUGGGUAAUGGUUGUACAAGUGUUAACACAUUUUGAAAUUAAUCAAGCUGUACAAAUAAUAUUUGUGUACUUUUGUAAAUUAUAGUUCAAAAUUUUUUCAUCUGUGAACAGUAUUUAUUUUUUUCAAUUAAUAUUGUUCUUUUUAUUUUUUUUUUAUUUCUUGAGACAGAGUCUUUCUCUGCUACCCAGGCUGGAGUGCAGUAGCACGAUCUCGGCUCACUGCAACCUCUGCCUCCCAGGUUCAAGCAAUUCUCCUGCCUCAUCCUCCAGAAUAGCUGGGAUUACAUGCAUAAGCCACCAUACCCGACUAAUUUUUGUAUUUUUAGUAGAGACAGGGUUUCCCCAUGUUGGCCAGGCUGGUCUUGAACUCCUUACCUCAGAUGAUCCAUCCGCCUCAGCCUCCCAAAGUGUUGAGGUUACAGAACUGCGCCCGGCUGUUCUUUUUAUUUUUAAGUGUAAUUUAACUUUUAACCUUUCUCCCAACUGUAUUAAGUUGAUACGUGAAACAUAUAUUUGGACUUCUGCACAUUUCCUGGCAUGCAGCUCCUAAAAUCCUUAGGUACUGAAAAGUGAUUUUUUUUUUUGUAUGCGAAUGAGUCAACUGUUGGCUACAGGAUGGGGGCUAAUCACCGGAAAGACCAAAGCACCACCCCUUAACCCUUAACCUCCAGGGAGGAGAGGGGACUGAAGGUUAAGUUGAUUACCAGUGGCCAUGGUUUAAUCAGGUAUACCUACAUAAUGAAGCCUCUGUAAAAACCCCAAAGGCCAGGGCUCAGAAAACAUAUGGAGGUUCCUGGAGGAUGGAGUGCUGGGGAGGGCAUGGAAGCUCCCUGCUCCUUCUCCCUCCACGCCUCUUCACCUGUAUCCUUUGUAAUAUCCUUUGUAAUAAACCAGUAAAGGUGUUUCCCUGAGUUCAGUCAGCCACUCCUGCAAAUUAAUCGAAACCAAACAGGAGUAGCCAACUCCAACUUGCUCCAGUUGGUCAGAAGUUCCAGAGGCCUGGACUUGGCAGCCUGUGGGAAGGAGCGGUUGGUGUUGAGGGACUGCGCGCUUAGUCUGUGGAUCUGAUGCUAUCUCCAGGUAGGCAGUGCCAGCACUGAAUCGGAGGACACCGAGCUGGUGUCUGCUGCAGAACUGAUUGCUUGCUUAGUGUGGGAAGAACUUCCCCUCUUAAUUUGGUCACCAGAAGUGUUUUGUGUUGGUGGUGGUGUGAGAGCAGAGGAAACACAGUUUGUGUUUUUCCCACUUUCAAAGCUGGUGAAUAAAUAUUGCAUAUACUUAUGGUGUACAAUGUGAUGUUUUGAUAUAUGUAUACAUUUUGAAAUUAUUAAAUCAAAUUAACAUAUCUAUUGCCUUGCAUACUUAUCAUUUUUUAUUGGUAAGAAUUACACCUCAAUUUUUAAAGAUAAAGAAAAAUAAGAGACAGGCCAUAAAGAGCUAAAGGUUGGAGAACUAUCUAAAAAACACUGUGGGCCAGGUGCGGUGGUUCACGCCUGUAAUCCCAGCACUUUGGGAGGCCGAUGUGGACAGAUGAUGAGGUCAGGAGUUCGAGAGCAGCCUGGCCAACAUGGUGACACCCCAUCUCUACUAAAAAUACAAAAAAUUAGCCGGGCAUGGUGGCACAUGCCUGUAAUCCCAGCUACUCAGGAGGCUGAGGCAGGAGAAUUGCUUGAACCCGGGAGGUGGAGGUUGCAGUGAGCCGAGAUUGUGCCAUUGCACUCCAGCCUGGGCAACAGGGUGAGGCUUCGGCUCAAAAAAACAAACAAACACUCUGGCUAAGAACACAGGCUCUGCUGUCAAGCGGACCAGAAUUAGAGCCUAGCUCUGCGUGGCCUUGUCCUGUGGUCUUCAGCAAGUUACUUAUGUCUCUGCUUCCAGUUUUCUAGUCUAUAAAAUGGGAUAAUAGGAGUACGCAUCCCCAAGGGUGGUUGAGCAGAGCAAAGGAGAGAUGAUGCCCUCUAAGCACUCUGGGCCCUGGACCUCAUACCUAGUAGAUAGCUAAUAAAAUGCUAGUUAACUAAUAUUACAUCUUUAUCUUAAACAUUUAGGGGGUUGCUCAUGGCUGGUGAGUCACAUAUUGUUCUUCCCUUAGGGAGGGGUCAGAGACUCUGAAAUAAGAAACUCAGGUAAGUUGAUUGUAAAUUAUG